rnacentral:lncRNA from 1 species
AAUAAAUUAAGAUGAGGUCACUGUAAUAAUAACUGAUCUUGUGAUCGAGGUGGAUAGCUUCAUAAUCCACUUAGUCUAUCUAAAUACCAAAUGUGAGUUUUUGAUUGGAAGAAGAUAAAUUAAAUAAAUAAUAGAAAAACUCAAGUUAGACACUAUAGUGUAUCUGAACUAUCAUCUGUAUGGUAUUCAUUUAUAAAAAUAAAAUAUACGUUCCAUCG